rnacentral:tRNA from 1 species
CUCACAUUGGUAGAGCGGUAUACAGCAAAUUUCCAAUUUGUGGACAUGGGUUCAAUUCCAAGAUAAUUCU